rnacentral:lncRNA from 1 species
UUGAUCCCUCAUUUUUAUAUUGGGACGUAGGAACAAGUCCGAAGAUCUUGUCAAACACAAAAAAUAUAAUUAAUGAAUUCUUAUCUCAUCCCUACACUUUGUUUUACUUGCAAACAUCAUUUGUACAAAAUCACAUAUGCACACAAGAAAGGGCUCCCUAGGAGUACCUAAGACACUUUGGGUGCUAACACCUUCCCUCUGUG